rnacentral:rRNA from 1 species
UACGUAGGGUGCAAGCGUUAAUCGGAAUUACUGGGCGUAAAGCGUGCGCAGGCGGUUGUGCAAGACAGAGGUGAAAUCCCCGGGCUUAACCUGGGAAUGGCCUUUGUGACUGCACGGCUAGAGUGUGUCAGAGGGGGGGUAGAAUUCCACGUGUAGCAGUGAAAUGCGUAGAUAUGUGGAGGAAUACCGAUGGCGAAGGCAGCCCCCUGGGAUAACACUGACGCUCAUGCACGAAAGCGUGGGGAGCAAACAGG